AGUGAACGCUGGCGGUAGGCCUAACACAUGCAAGUCGAACGGCAGCACAGUAAGAGCUUGCUCUUACGGGUGGCGAGUGGCGGACGGGUGAGGAAUACAUCGGAAUCUACUUUUUCGUGGGGGAUAACGUAGGGAAACUUACGCUAAUACCGCAUACGACCUACGGGUGAAAGCAGGGGAUCUUCGGACCUUGCGCGAUUGAAUGAGCCGAUGUCGGAUUAGCUGGUUGGCGGGGUAAAGGCCCACCAAGGCGACGAUCCGUAGCUGGUCUGAGAGGAUGAUCAGCCACACUGGAACUGAGACACGGUCCAGACUCCUACGGGAGGCAGCAGUGGGGAAUAUUGGACAAUGGGCGCAAGCCUGAUCCAGCCAUACCGCGUGGGUGAAGAAGGCCUUCGGGUUGUAAAGCCCUUUUGUUGGGAAAGAAAAGCAGCAGGUUAAUACCCCGCUGUUCUGACGGUACCUAAAGAAUAAGCACCGGCUAACUUCGUG
rnacentral:rRNA from 1 species